GAAAAAAGGCUAAAAAAGGGGUUUUAAGUGUUAAGCCAGGACAAUGACUCCAAAUCUGUCCUGAGGGAGCAGUCAGUGGCGCUCAGGAUCUGCCAGCCAGUGUUUAUUCCAGCUGCUUGAGCUGAUCCUGCCUGUGUGACAAACAGGAAUGCUUUCAAUGCCACCAAUAUUUGUAUUAAUGUUGGUUUUACCACCUGGACAUCCCUACCAGCAAGUAUAUGUGCUGCCGAAGCGAGCACGAAUCUGCUGUCCUACCUGCUGGUAUUUAUACCCCGAGGA